rnacentral:rRNA from 1 species
AUCUUUAAAGUUAAAAAAUUUGGCGGUAUUUUAGUCUAUUCAGUGGAACCUGUUUUUUAAUUGAUAGUCCACGAUAAGAUUUACUUUGGUUUUAAAUUUAUAUAUCGUCGUUUAUAAGAAUUUUGGGGUUUAAUUCUUUCAGAUCAAGGUGUAGUUUAUAUCAAAGUUAAAAUGGGUUACAAUAAAUAUUCAAGAUAAAAUGGAUUUGAUAGUAAGCUCUAAAAUAUGCACAUAUCGCCCGUCGCUUUCAUUUUAAGAUGGAAUAAGUCGUAACAAAGUAGGCUUAUUGGAAAAUGAGCCUGGAAUGCAAAUUAGAGCUUGUUAAGCAUUUUAUUUACACUAAAAAGUUAAUUGUGAAAUUCAAUUUAAUUUGAUUUUAAUAUGUUAUUUAUUUUUUUUUGUUUAAGUUAUUGCUAGAAGAAUGUUAUUUUUUAUUAUUUGUAUGAAAAAAUUUUAUUAUAGAUUAAAGUAUUGUGAGAGAAUUAUUUUUAAGUUAAUAAAGAAGAUUUUUAUUAUUGGCCCUUGGGUAACGGGGUUUAUUAAUUAUUUUUUCCCGAAUUUAUAAGAGCUACUUUUACUGUGGAAUAAUUAUUUUAAAUUCUAUUGUUGUAAUGAAAUGUUAUUCGUUUUUAAAUAUAUCUGGUUUCUUAAGAAAUGAAUUUAAUUUAACUUUUAGAUAGAAUAAUUUUAGGGGAUAAGCUCUAAAAUUGAUUGUUAAAAAUUUUUAGUAAUAAUUGAUUUGUAGGAUUAGAAUUUUCCAUCAAUUAGAGGAUGUUUUAAUUAGUGAUUUUAACUUUUUUAUUAAGAUUUUUACUUUAAUAUUAUUGGUUUAGUAAUAAUGAUAAAAUUAGUAAGGUUGUUUUUAGGAAUUCGGCAAUUUAAAUUUUCACCUGUUUAUUAAAAACAUGUCCUUUUGGUAUAAUUUAAGGUCAGGCCUGCCCAAUGAUUUAAUGGCCGCAGUAUAUUGACUGUGCAAAGGUAGCAUAAUCAUUAGUUUCUUAAUUAGAAGCUGGAAUGAAUGGUUCGAUGAAAAAUUUACUGUCUUUAGAAUUUUAUUUUUGAGUGAGAAAGCUUAAAUUGAAUAUAAAGACGAGAAGACCCUAUAGAGUUUUUUUGUUGGGGUGAUGAAAAAAUUUAAUUAACUUUUUAUUUUAGUGAUUAAGUGAUCCUAGAUUAUAAGAUUAAAUUACC